UGCCCGGUAGCUAAAUGCGGAAGAGAUAAGUGCUGAAAGCAUCUAAGCACGAAACUUGCCCCGAGAUGAGUUCUCCCUGACUCCUUGAGAGUCCUGAAGGAACGUUGAAGACGACGACGUUGAUAGGCCGGGUGUGUAAGCGCAGCGAUGCGUUGAGCUAACCGGUACUAAUGAACCGUGAGGCUUAACCUUACAACGCCGAAGCUGUU
rnacentral:rRNA from 3 species